rfam:Erinaceus europaeus unplaced genomic scaffold scaffold00012, whole genome shotgun sequence
GAUUAUGAGGGCAAUCUCACUGCAACAUCUGUCACCCCUUUGAUUGCCAGAGUUGAUUCAGCUGAUCUAGCAGGUGGGCUAGUUGGGUGUCUCCUUCCUCCCUCACUGUUCCAUGUGCGUCCCUCCUAAGCUGCGCUCUCAGUCGAAGAGGACAGCCUUCCCCUAAUAGAGAAGGACCAGUCUUUGGUCAGUCGGUCGGUCGGUCCGUCGGUUGGUCGAGGGUAUAUAAGUAGCUGUGCUCCCCUGCUAGAACCUCCAAACAAGCUCUCAAGGUUCAACUAAGCAUACAUGCUCAAAAGACUCCCUCACAAUAUACUUGCCAUUGAUCUAUUCAGGCACAUAUA